rnacentral:lncRNA from 1 species
GUUUUUUUGUGCACAUAAAGUAUCAGUGCAGCAGUAUGUAUGUAAUUUACAAAUAAAUAUCUUAUUUGAGGUUGUAGUUUGUGGUCUGAAAAAUUUGGAUACCUCUGCUCAAAGUAGUGAUGAGACUGUAGGAGAACACCAGCACUCCUCAAGCUUGAAUAUCUGGGAAUCAUCUGGAGAAUGUGUUCAAAUGCAAAUCCUUGUUCCAUAGGUCCUGGCUCUAGCCCAAAGUUCUGCAGUUGGAGGCUGACUCAGAAAGCAUGAAUUAGUGCUUUUCCCGUUUUUUUGCUACGGAACUCCAUUUAGAGUCUUAGUCAUCAAGGGAAACCCCCAAACCACUGGGACAGACGCUAUGACGUCUCCUCCUGGAACACCCAGUGCUGUCCUAGAGACUGAGGAAGCCCCUGCUCACUGCUUGCUCCCUUAGUGCAAGAGAAUUUGCCAGGAUCUGUUCCCAUCAGGGUUGUGUCAUGUGCUUCCUCAUGUUGAUUUGCUUCUGGGUCCAGAUGGCUUCUUCAGCCUGCUUCAGGGGAGGAGAAGGUGCUGGUGAGGAGGAGUGGGCACCAGGCGGCUCAGGGGAGCAGGGAGCAGAAGUCAGGAGCCGCAGUGAGGUUCCUCUUCCACUCUCCGUUCUGGGUAGACAUGAGUGCUUUACUUUCCUUCUUGCCUCAGACUUAGUGGUCUGUCACACAGCUGCUUCCCGUGGGAGCUAACACUGGGAAAGCACACUUAAACACUUCCUUAACAUUGUAGUUCCACCAGGCUGUAUUCUUUCACCAUUCUCCGUAUGAACUGAGGCACCAAAUGGUGAGGUGACUUAUCUAAGGUCACAAGGCAGAACAGGUACUAUUUCUUUCUAGUACAUCUAUUUUAAUUACAAACUGCCUCUGUUUGGGAGUCAGAUUAUUAGAUUUGAGUUUUGAGAUUUAAAUGCUCAUUAAGUAAGUACAAUCUGUCCGGUACUAUCCAAGAAUUCUCUGUGACAUAGUGCUUGGCCUUAAGGACUCAUGGUCUGCGGAGAGAGGUCAGUAAGGAUGUGUUUACAGACUGUUGAGUGCGGUGAUGGGUGAGGUCACUACACCAAAGGAAUCUUGGGAGGGUUACAUUUCUCAAAGAAGCGGGGUCUGAGAAGAUUAGCUGAAGGGAGUGUCCAAGCUGAACCCUGUCAGGUGAAUAACCAGCUAGGUAAAGAUUGGGGAGGGUGUUACCAGCAGGAGGAUCAGUAUGCAAACAUCAG